rnacentral:rRNA from 1 species
CCUACGGGAGGCAGCAGUAGGGAAUCUUCCGCAAUGGACGAAAGUCUGACGGAGCAACGCCGCGUGAACGAUGAAGGCCUUCGGGUCGUAAAGUUCUGUUGUUAGGGAAGAACAAGUGCUAGUUGAAUAAGCUGGCACCUUGACGGUACCUAAUCAGAAAGCCACGGCUAACUACGUGCCAGCAGCCGCGGUAAUACGUAGGUGGCAAGCGUUGUCCGGAAUUAUUGGGCGUAAAGCGCGCGCAGGCGGUUUCUUAAGUCUGAUGUGAAAGCCCCCGGCUCAACCGGGGAGGGUCAUUGGAAACUGGGAAACUUGAGUGCAGAAGAGGAAAGUGGAAUUCCAAGUGUAGCGGUGAAAUGCGUAGAGAUUUGGAGGAACACCAGUGGCGAAGGCGACUUUCUGGUCUGUAACUGACGCUGAGGCGCGAAAGCGUGGGGAGCAAACAGGAUUAGAUACCCUGGUAGUCCACGCUGUAAACGAUGAGUGCUAAGUGUUAGAGGGUUUCCGCCCUUUAGUGCUGAAGUUAACGCAUUAAGCACUCCGCCUGGGGAGUACGGUCGCAAGACUGAAACUCAAAGGAAUUGACGG